GUGCUCUCUUUGGCAGCACAUACACUAAAACUGAAACAACAGAGGUUAGCAUGGCCCCUGCACCAGAAUGACAUGCAAGUUCGUGCAGUGUCCCGUUAAAAA